UUUCCUACGGGAGGCAGCAGUGAGGAAUAUUGGUCAAUGGACGCAAGUCUGAACCAGCCAUGCCGCGUGCAGGAAGACGGCUCUAUGAGUUGUAAACUGCUUUUGUACGAGGGUAAAUCCCGAUACGUGUAUCGGGUUGAAAGUAUCGUACGAAUAAGGAUCGGCUAACUCCGUGCCAGCAGCCGCGGUAAUACGGAGGAUUCAAGCGUUAUCCGGAUUUAUUGGGUUUAAAGGGUGCGUAGGCGGAAUAUCAAGUCAGCGGUAAAAAUUCGGGUCUCAACCCCGUCGUGCCGUUGAAACUGAUG
rnacentral:rRNA from 1 species